CCUAUGUGCCAGACCCAGGGUUUGUGGAUUCCCAUGAUUUUCAGGGCACCUAAAAGUUAGGUGUAGCAAAACCGAAUCCCCUUGUGGAUCUGGAUCUACCUCUUCUCAGUUAGUUGUCUUUUUACAGGAUCCUUUUCUCCAGCAUGUCUUUUUGGGGCUGCCCCUUUAAAAUGGGCAGAACCAAGAAGCUGCAGCCAUUUUGUUACUGACUGCUGCUUGCUGCAUCUCCCUGCCCUCCAUCUGACUAAAUUCACAUGGGAAUUUAAGUGGCACUCAGAAAAUGGAGAAGAUGCCCUUAUGCCCAAUAUGCUCUGUGGUUGGCCAUUCACCAGGGAUGUUGGAGAUCCAGGUUUGAAUCUGGAGCAGGGGCUGGAACCAGGUGUACUUCCUCUCAGGUGAGUGCCCUAACUACCAGGUUGUAGAGUCAUUCUCUCUCAGGCCCAAUGACUGUUCAAGUAUGUUCUAAAAAGCGGAAUUGAUUCAACGUAGAGAGACCUACCUUAAAAUAGCCAAUAAUUUGGUGGAUAGGACAUUCACCUGGGAGAGAAGAGAGCAGGGAAAGGAGGCCACCAACACUGCCUGCUCCUUGGUUUUGUGGAUGGUGCCCUAAAUCCCCAUAUGAAUCUAGUCUGAAAAUCAAAAUGCUUUUACUGCAAUUGGGCUAUAAUUGAGAAGGCUUUCAUGCAAAUAGAGCUCAGAUUGUGUGAAGACAGAAGAGGCCACUAGUAGAACAGCUCAGCUGCCAGCAAAAGCAGGUGCUCUCACCAUAUCUGAGCUCCAGAGGAAAUAUUUAAAACAGUUGUCCUAGAUAGAGUUACAGCUUUGUAACACACUGCAUGGAAACUUCAACUCUGGAAAUGGAAAACCUGAUGCUUGGCUACAGUUCCUGUAAACUUAUCUGGACACUGCUUAUAACAAUUUUAGGCUAUACCAGCUGUCUGCCUGUGGGUGAUGAUUCUGUUUGCACAGCAGAGGAAAUUGCUAAGUACAGCAUAGUCUUUGUAGGGAAAUGGAGUCAGGCUGCUUUCCCUAAGCAGUAUCCCCUUUAUAGGCCUCCAGCACAGUGGUCUUCCUUGCUAGGUGUUACCCAUAGUUCUGACUAUAACAUGUGGAAAAAGGAUGAAUAUGUCAGCAAUGGUGUGCGUGAUUUUGCUGAAAAGGGUGAAGCCUGGACAUUAAUGAAGGAAAUAGAAGCAGCUGGAGAAAAAAUUCAAAGUGUGCAUGGAAUCUUUUCAGCUCCUGCCAUUUCCAGUGGUACAGGACAAACCUUCACGGAAUUAGAAGCACAUUCAAGGCACUCCUCAGUUUCUUUUAUUGUACGAAUUGUGCCCAGCCCCGAUUGGUUUGUGGGUGUUGACAGUCUAAAUCUAUGUGAAGGAGAUCAUUGGAAAGAACAAGAAACAGUAGAUCUUUUUCCAUAUGAUGCUGGAACAGACAGUGGUUUCACAUUUUCCUCACCAAACUUUGCCACUAUUCCACAGGAUACUGUUACAGAGAUCACUUGUUCCUCUCCAAGUCACCCAGCAAACUCAUUUUAUUAUCCCAAGCUAAAAAGUUUGCCACCUAUUGCUCGAGUAACCAUUGUAAAACUUAAAAGAAACCAGCUGGGUCUUCCUGGUUCUCAGCCUAACCUGACUGCAGUAGGCAAUGAAAUAGAUGACUCUGUCUCAGAAACGCCAUUGGACUGUGAGAUUUCACUGUGGUCUUCCUGGGGUCUUUGCAGAGGUACUUGUGGAAAGAUAGGGACCAAAACCAGAACUCGUUAUGUACGCCUUCAACCUGCCAAUAAUGGAACUCCUUGUCCAAACCUGGAUGAAGAAACAGAAUGUGAACCGGACAAUUGUAUCUGAAAUCUCCUUUCCAAUGGAAUAAAGAAUAGACAAUAAUCUAGAUCAUUUAAAUUCAGGACUCAGAUGAGGAUCCUGACGAGUCCUGAAGAAAUUAGAACUUUUAUCAGCAUAGUACAUACUGGUCCUCCAAACACUGAAUAAACAAUUAAAACAAAUACUCGGCUCCAGUUUAAUACAGCUAAGUAUUUAAAAAAAACACACUAACUUUUGUCAUUUCUGGAUGCCUUGCAUUCUUCUGAUUAUCACUCUCCUGUCCUCCAUCCCCCUUGUUUCACUUAUUCUUGUUUAUAAGACCACCUUUUUCUCCAUGUUCCUCCUGUGUCCACAUUCUUACAGGUCAUUAGCUCUCAAAUAUCCUGAUUUUGGGGAGAAAGGAACUUUUCUCAGGUCUCUCUACAUUCAGUAUUACAUUUAUGUCCUUUUCCAUUCUUUCUUUAUUUUCUAUACAGAAGUCUUCCUUAUUUUCUGUUUUUGGGUUUUAUUUUAUUCAACUGUAUAAAUACCUAGAUAAACAAUUACAUCCAUCACCAAGGUAUCAGAACAACUUUAAAAUGUAUUAAAAUAUACCUGUGAAGUAUGCAUUUAUUCUGUUCCCUUGCCCCUUCCCCAAUCCAUUCUCAUUGCCCUUUGCUCCAUUUCAAUGGGCCAUCCUGCUCUGUGAGACAUCCAUGUCACUGCAAGAGAUUAAUUCAGCCUCCAGCAUCAUUCCUAUUAGUGGUCCGGACAGAAUUUGAACUGUUGACUGAUAAACGGCCAAAGGCUCCAAAUCCUAUUGUCCAUGUUUCUGGACUGAUGCUGGAACCCUAAGUUGAAACAUAAUAUGUGAUGGUUACAAACACUAGGAAUGAGAGGAUAAGAAGGAACUUGUAAUAUUUUCCAUGGGAUCUCAUGACAACAGCUGUAACUUAUAACAACAUGAAAUAUAUAAUAAAGGGCAUAUUUUUCAAGUACUCAGCAUCCGCAAAUUGGGGCUGGUUUUUCAAAAGCAUUCAACCAACACUUCCAUUAUGACAUUUAUGUAACCCCCUUGGGGUUUAGAGAUCAUGGCCCCUUUAAAACCUUGUCCUGAGGCAGAGGGAGUGCUGAUUGUUGCAGCAAGAGGAAGUGCUGGUUGUUCCAGGGGUGUGGAGAGAGGUAAAGUGACAGGGUAGGUCUGUCUGUAGUUACAGAGAGAAGGACUAUAACAAGCAGGCCCUCACAUAGUGAAGCAGACGAGAACCAGCCCGAAGCCUGGGUGGGACAGAGUGACCAACCAGGAUUGCCCCAAUACAGGAGACAGGAGGAGCACCAUGGAAAGGAGGAAUCACUUGAGAAGGACAAACCAGA